CAACCGUAGUAAGCUCUUGAAACUGGGAGACUUGAGUGCAGGAGAGGAGAGUGGAAUUCCUAGUGUAGCGGUGAAAUGCGUAGAUAUUAGGAGGAACACCAGUUGCGAAGGCGGCUCUCUGGACUGUAACUGACGCUGAGGCACGAAAGCGUGGGGAGCAAACAGGAUUAGAUACCCUGGUAGUCCACGCUGUAAACGAUGAGUACUAGGUGUCGGGGGUUACCCCC
rnacentral:rRNA from 1 species